AGUGUUGCCCGGGCGUAACUGGACGUAGAACGAGAGAGAGAGAGAGAGAGAGAGAGAGAGAGAGAGAGAGAGAGAGAGGGACUAAUCUUUGAGUGAAUAGGCUACCAACAGGUAUUGUGAAACCAAUCCUAUUGAGAAAGUUGCCUCAGCCUGAAGAAGUGUAAUCCUGUCUACGCAGAAGUAGAAGAGUAAAGUUUUGGUUCCUUUUCUGAUCCACCCACAUGACACUACAAACACAGUGAUCGCAGCAUGAAUCCCGCCCCCGGGGUUCUUGGGAGCGGUUACCGCGACGCACGGUGAGAAGACUUAUGCGGUUUCACCAAAAUAUCGGCUUCGUGUGGACGGGGGCCUUAGAAGGCGAACACACGUUCACCAAGACGGGGAGACAGCGCCGGGUGACUUACGCCACUAUCUUCCAAUGGAUCGUGGAUGCCUGGGCUGAUAUAUCAGUCUCAACUGUGAUCCAAGCUUUCACGAAGGCAGGAAUAAUCACUGAACAGCAGCGACACUGACUCGGAUAAUGACAAGAGGGAGCCGGGCAUGUUGGGUGCCGUACUCGCCCAAUUGUUCAAUUCGGACAUUGAAGAAGAAGAAUUCGAGGGAUUUGUGGACGGGGAAUGAACUGAAAAAGUCAAAUACAUCCUCUUCUGAUGACUGUAAGAUGAAGACCAGCGCUGAAAAAUGAGCGGGAGAGAGAGAUUCUCUGGAGAGACUUCCUGAUGUCAGGGACUGAUGGAUCUUCUCCACAAGAGAACGGCAUUUUAGCUCAUUUAGACAGUGGAAGAGAUUGAUGCUACUCUCUGGAGAGAGAUCUCCUCUCAUCUUCUCCCUGAUGUAACGGACUGUUCCAUGAUUGGUCCUUGAACUACUUCCUUUCUUCCUUUCUACAAGGAGACCUCGUAGGAGUUUCUGAUUGGUCUCUAGAGAGAGGCCCAGGAGGAAGCGGAGGAAUAAGUCCAGGUGUCCAUUCUCACUCUGUAAGGCCUUGUCCACCAACCACAGUACUCUUGUAGAGGAGGAGUUCAUCUUCCAUGGAGGUUGGUUCUUCUGAGAGCAGAUUGACACCAGUGUCGAUGAAAGACAGAAAGACAUGAAGGGCAGCCAGAAACUCCUGGAUGCUCAGAUGGACAAAGCAGAACACCUUGUCCUGUUCUGCCAUGAUAUUUCAUGUCCCCCUGAAUGGACUGUACCCGCAGGAAGUGGCUGUACAUCUGAGUCAGGGUCUUCGGCAUCUCUUUUCCUGUGAAGUUCUUCAGAACAUUUGCACCGAUCCAACAGAAAAUUGGGAUGUGACACAUGAUGUGGAGGCUUCGUGAUGUCUUGACAUGGUCGAUGAUUGUGUUCGCUAGCUUCUCGUCUACUGAAAAUCUCUUCCUGAAGUACUCCUCAUUCUGUGCUUUGGUGAACCCUCUUACCUCUGUCACCCUGUCAACACACUCAGCUGGGAUUUGGUUGGCUGCCGCAGGGCGUGUGGUGAUCCAGAUGCAAGCGGAGGGAAGUAGGUCGCCCCUGAUGAGGUUUGUCAGCAGGACGUCAACAGAGGCGGACUUUGUGACAUCAGUCCAAGUUUGGUUGUUCUGAAAGUCCAGAGGAAGUCGACACUCAUCGACAAGGGCGUCAGUUUAGAAGUGGUGGGGACAAUAACCAUAAGCUUGAGUGUGGUUUGAAAAGUGCUAACCUUAUGUAAGCUAUUCGUCCAUUCAACGCUGCAUUACAAUAUGCUCUACAGUGUAUAGUCAGGUGUUGAAAAUCCUAUUCGAACAAUAAGUUGAAAACACAGUUUGUGUUUCGGCUUGUUUUGCAAUACGCCGUUGGAAACACCAGGGUAUUGGCUCGGGAUAUGUAAUACUAAUACACACAGGACAAAGAACAGUGUUUGUCACAACUUCAGCAAGGCUGUAGUUUUUCAUUUGUCUGUUCCCUGUUUUGCCACACUAACACAUGUCAUUUCAGACUCUGCCACUCCCCCCUGCUCUGCAUUACCUGCUGUUCCCAUUCACCUGCCUGCCACCCUGAUCUCUCCUAAUUAACCAACCACCGUCACCUGUGCUCCCCCUAUAUCAGUCCUCUCCUCCCAAACAUUCCCUGCCAGAUUGUCUAGUGUGUUAACCUAGCUCUCCCACGUCUUCUGAUCCUGAUCCUGAUCCUGAACCUGCCUGUGUAUCGACCUGCCCUUUUGGACUUUGGACCUUCCUUUUGCCUGCUCCUACCAGAUUGACCUGCCUGCUUGGACUUUGGACCUUCCCUGUUGCGGUGCCCCUAGGAAUAAACACUAUUUCUUCCCCUGAACUGUUUCCUGUGUCGUGCUAUUGGGUUCUCGUCUGCCAUUUGGUGAAACCUGACAGUACAAUCUAGCCAAAAAAGAAACCAGCCGACAUGGAGUAGGUGUAUCAGGAAAUAACAGCUCAAGCUGCUGCUCUACACCAGCAUGAGAAGC
ensembl:lncRNA